rnacentral:rRNA from 1 species
GACGAACGCUGGCGGCGUGCUUAACACAUGCAAGUCGAACGGUGAUGCUCCAGCUUGCUGGAGUGGAUCAGUGGCGAACGGGUGAGUAACACGUGAGCAACCUGCCCCAGACUCUGGAAUAAGCGCUGGAAACGGCGUCUAAUACUGGAUACGAAACUGGCCCGCAUGGGCAUGGUUUGGACAGUUUUUCGGUUUGGGAUGGGCUCGCGGCCUAUCAGCUUGUUGGUGAGGUAAUGGCUCACCAAGGCUACGACGGGUAGCCGGCCUGAGAGGGCGACCGGCCACACUGGGACUGAGACACGGCCCAGACUCCUACGGGAGGCAGCAGUGGGGAAUAUUGCACAAUGGGCGAAAGCCUGAUGCAGCGACGCCGCGUGAGGGAUGACGGCCUUCGGGUUGUAAACCUCUUUCCGCAGGGAAGAAGCGAAAGUGACGGUACCUGCAGAAGAAGCACCGGCUAACUACGUG